rnacentral:tRNA from 1 species
CAUUGACCCACUGGAUGGCACUAAUAACUUCGUAAGAGGUAUUCCCCACUUUGCUGUAUCUAUCGCGAUGCAGUUUA